rnacentral:rRNA from 1 species
UCGAGCGCCGUAGCAAUACGGAGCGGCAGACGGGAGAGUAACACGUGGGAACGUGCCCUUCAGUUCGGAACAACCCAGGGAAACUUGGGCUGAUACCGGAUACGUCCGAAAGGAGAAAGAUUUAUCGCUGAAGGAUCGGCCCGCGUCUGAUUAGCUAGUUGGUGAGGUAACGGCUCACCAAGGCUACGAUCAGUAGCUGGUCUGAGAGGAUGAUCAGCCUCACUGGGACUGAGACACGGCCCAGACUCCUACGGGAGGCAGCAGUGGGGAAUAUUGGACAAUGGGCGCAAGCCUGAUCCAGCCAUGCCGCGUGGAUGAUGAAGGCCUUAGGGUUGUAAAGUCCUUUCGGCGGGGAAGAUAAUGACGGUACCCGCAGAAGAAGCCCCGGCUAACUUCGUG